GGCCUACCAUGGUGGUAACGGGUAACGGGGUGUUAGGGCACGACACCGGAGAGGGAGCCUGAGAAACGGCUACCACAUCCAAGGAUGGCAGCAGGCGCGCAAAUUACCCAAUCCCGACACGGGGAGGUAGUGACAAUAAAUAACAAUACGGGGUUCUUUAGGAUCUCGUAAUUGGAAUGAGUACAAUUUAAAUCUCUUAACGAGGAACAAUUGGAGGGCAAGUCUGGUGCCAGCAGCCGCGGUAAUUCCAGCUCCAAUAGCGUAUAUUAAAGUUGUUGCAGUUAAAAAGCUCGUAGUUGAAUUUCGGGGUUAGUAGGUUGGUCAUGCCUCUGGUAUGUACUGGUCUCACUGAUUCCUCCUUCCUGAUGAACCUUAAUGCCAUUAAUUUGGUGUUUUGGGGAAUUUGGACUGUUACUUUGAAAAAAUUAGAGUGUUUAAAGCAAGCUAACGCUUGAAUACAUUAGCAUGGAAUAAUGAAAUAGGACGUUCGAUCCUAUUUUGUUGGUUUCUAGGAUUGACGUAAUGAUUAAUAGGGAUAGUUGGGGGCAUUAGUAUUCAAUUGUCAGAGGUGAAAUUCUUGGAUUUAUUGAAGACUAACUACUGCGAAAGCAUUUGCCAAGGAUGUUUUCAUUAAUCAAGAACGAAAGUUAGGGGAUCGAAGACGAUCAGAUACCGUCGUAGUCUUAACCAUAAACUAUGCCGACUAGGGAUCGGAUGAUGUUAAUUUUUUAAUGACUCAUUUCGGCGCCUUACG
rnacentral:rRNA from 1 species